CCACAUCAGCUACAGGCGCAUCAGGGACCCCGUAGAGGGAGAGGCCGAGGUCGAGGUCUAGGUUUUGCACCUAGAAAUAGGUCCAAUCCGAACCUCCCCGGAUACUGUUUGCACCAUAGGUCCUACGGGCACGACACCGCGGAUUGCAGAGACUAUGCACACCGCUCGCGGCAGGAACCCGCCAGGGAAAGACAUAACUCG
rnacentral:lncRNA from 1 species